GAUAAACGCUGGCGGCGUGCCUAAUACAUGCAAGUCGAGCGAAUGGAUUAAGAGCUUGCUCUUAUGAAGUUAGCGGCGGACGGGUGAGUAACACGUGGGUAACCUGCCCAUAAGACUGGGAUAACUCCGGGAAACCGGGGCUAAUACCGGAUAACAUUUUGAACCGCAUGGUUCGAAAUUGAAAGGCGGCUUCGGCUGUCACUUAUGGAUGGACCCGCGUCGCAUUAGCUAGUUGGUGAGGUAACGGCUCACCAAGGCAACGAUGCGUAGCCGACCUGAGAGGGUGAUCGGCCACACUGGGACUGGGACACGGCCCAGACUCCUACGGGAGGCAGCAGUAGGGAAUCUUCCGCAAUGGACGAAAGUCUGACGGAGCAACGCCGCGUGAGUGACGAAGGCUUUCGGGUCGUAAAACUCUGUUGUUAGGGAAGAACAAGUGCUAGUUGAAUAAGCUGGCACCUUGACGGUACCUAACCAGAAAGCCACGGCUAACUACGUGCCAGCCGCCGCGGUAA
rnacentral:rRNA from 1 species